CUGUAAUCAGGGUGUGGUAGCAGCCUCGCUGCCUGUCCUCAGGACAGCUCUGACCAGACUGGAUCCCCCUGGCAGGGAAGCAUAAGAGGUUGCUGGCCUGAGUCGUCAAGAAGUGACCAUUGUGAAGCAGACAUUCAGCUCGUCCCAGACAGCCCCCAGGAGGAGAGUCCAGACCCCGUGUAGAUGUGUGUGAUCAGAAAGAGUCCCUUGCAAGGGUCGUUCGAAGGCAGAGUGGGCUGUAGUGUGGAGAUGAGUUCCCCAUGAUAGGGAAUGUGGAGAAUAGUUGGAGAGGUAUUUGGACUAGGUGACCAUGAGGUCUCAUCUCAGAUUUCAUUUCAGGGACACAUCUGUCCCUGACUGGGGCUGGUGGCCUCUGUGCCUGGUAUUCAUUGUUUACCAGGGAUUUGCAGAGUACCCUUCAUGGGAGGCACUUGUCUGCAAGUCUAAGUGCAAAUCAGCCUUGCCUGUCAACAAAGAUGACUUGGGUGUGUCGGUGCUUCCUGUCCUGGUGUUGAACAGGAGACGCUGGCCUAUUGCAGAGAAGCUUUGAGUCUGGAAGCUUUUCUGAAUGGAACUCCCACCUCCCUUUCUCCUGCAUUUGGUGUUUUUCUUCUGUAGGAUUGAUGCUGUUCACUUGAUUUAUCCCUGGUGUAUUAGUCCAUUCUUGCAUUGCUAUAAAGAAAUACCUGAGACUGGAUAAUUUAUAAAGAAAAGCAGUUUAAUUGGCUCACGGUUCUGUGGCUGUGUAGGAAGCAUGGCUGGGAGGCCUCGGGAAACUUACAAUCAUGGUGGAAGGUGAAGGGGAAGCCAGCACAUCUUACGUGGCUGGAGUAGGAGGAAGGGGGGUGGGGAGGUGCUACACACUUUUAAACAACCAGAUCUUCUGAGCACUCGCUAUCACGAGAACAGCACCUUCGGGGAAAUCUGCCCCCAUGAUCUGAUCACCUCCCACCAGGCCCCAUCUCCAACAAUGGGGAUUACAGUUUGACAUGAGAUUUGGGCGGGGACACAAAUCUAAGCCAUAUCACCUGGCUUUCCCUUCAUGUAUCGAUAUAAGUUUCUGAGGUUGUGAAUAACUUGUAACCUUCAGGUGACUUCAGAAAAAUAGUAUAGUUAGUGAUAACAUAGGGAAAAAGAUGAAAGAGAAGGAAGAUGAACCGUUACCGAGUGCUGUGCCAAACCCCGUGUGGCUAGAGCCUCACUACUGCUUCCUGGUGUUACCACAUCUGCAGAUGACAGGAGGCUCCCGAGGGUCUCAGCCAGGCAGGCCUGUUGGGGUUUAGGUCAGCGGUGUCCUACGUAGCAUAACAUCCUGCCCCUAA
rnacentral:lncRNA from 1 species